rnacentral:rRNA from 1 species
GACGAACGCUGGCGGCGUGCUUAACACAUGCAAGUCGAACGGUAAGGCCCUUCGGGGUACACGAGUGGCGAACGGGUGAGUAACACGUGGGUGAUCUGCCCUGCACUUCGGGAUAAGCCUGGGAAACUGGGUCUAAUACCGGAUAGGACUCCUGGCUUCAUGGUUGGGGGUGGAAAGCUUUUGCGGUGUGGGAUGGGCCCGCGGCCUAUCAGCUUGUUGGGGGGGUAAUGGCCUACCAAGGGGACGCCGGGUGACCGGCCUGGGAGGGUGACCGGACACACUGGGACUGGGAUACGGCACAGACUCCUACGGGAGGCAGCAGUGGGGAAUAUUGCACUAUGGGCGCAAGCCUGAUGCAGCGACGCCGCGUGAGGGAUGACGGCCUUCGGGUUGUCAACCUCUUUCCGCUAUGACGAAGCGCAAGUGACGCUAGUAGCAGAAGAAGGACCGGCCAACUACGUGCCAGCCGCCGCAGUAA